GUGGGGAAUAUUGCACAAUGGGGGAAACCCUGAUGCAGCGACGCCGCGUGAACGAAGAAGGUAUUCGUAUCGUAAAGUUCUGUCCUAUGGGAAGAUAAUGACAGUACCAUAGAAGAAAGCUCCGGCUAAAUACGUGCCAGCAGCCGCGGUAAUACGUAUGGAGCGAGCGUUGUCCGGAAUUAUUGGGCGUAAAGGGUACGCAGGCGGUUUAAUAAGUCGAAUGUUAAAGAUCGGGGCUCAACCCCGUAAAGCAUUGGAAACUGAUAAACUUGAGUAGUGGAGAGGAAAGUGGAAUUCCUAGUGUAGUGGUGAAAUACGUAGAUAUUAGGAGGAAUACCAGUAGCGAAGGCGACUUUCUGGACACAAACUGACGCUGAGGUACGAAAGCGUGGGGAGCAAACAGGAUUAGAAACCCCAGUAGUCC
rnacentral:rRNA from 1 species